CUAGGUCACAGCCAUACAAAAGCAACUAUGAGGACCACAGGUGCCAGGAGACUCAUCCAGAAGUCCUGCAGGAGCCGCUCAGCUGAAGGUUGCCUUCCACAUGGAGCCACCUCUGCAAUUACCAAAGCUGGAUGGGGCUGGAGUACCCUUUCCCAGGAUGGCGCCUUACAUAGUUAUUUCCAGGGUAUCUGAGCCCUAGAAUCCAGGACACCCAUGGCCAGAACAUCAGUGCCUGAAUUUCCUCUGCAAACUGUUGGCCUCGAAACCCCAUCAGGGCUGAGGUCUCAUUCAUGCCCUUCGUGCCAUCCAGCUCUGUCUCGCUGAAGCCUGCAGGUCCCUGUGCUCUGGGGACACAUGUGCCUCUGCUUGAAGAGGAUGCGUCAUGGAGAUGCAUGUCAGCAAGGCUGGCAGCUCCUCAUCCAACUGCGAACAGCUCUGUGAGAACAGCCUUCACGACCACACCUGCCUAGAGAGCACUCCCUGUCGCCAGCACUUUCAGAUGGUCGUGUGCCGGUGAGCUUGUUAAAGGUUCUGAAGAGUCCUGCACCAACCCCAGACUGGCUCAAACCACUCUAGUUUGCUCUUCUGUUGUGACAAAUACCUUAACCAAAAGCAGCUUGGGGUAGGAACGGGAACCGCUUUCAGGUCACGGUUCCUCACUGAGGGAGAAGUCAGGGCAGGAACUCAAGCUGGAAGCAAAGCAGAAACAGCAGAGGGACGCUGCUUCCAGGCCUGUUCCUUCUGUCCCAAGACACAUUUUGGAAAGUGUUCUCAAUCAACUGCCGCCUACAAAUGUCUGAUCCCACUGGAGGCAGAGCGGGCAUGGUGUGGCCAGUAUUGUCUGCCCAGGUUGUGGUGUCGCACCAAGGAUGGCAAAGUUUCUGUAGCACAGAUGGCAUCAGGCUACCCCCUGGGAGGGCAUGCCCUAGGGAUAGAUGGUACCAUUGUUGGUUAGCAAAUGACACCUUUUGAAGGUCAGGUUUGAAUGCCAGUCAGCCUAGCAGAGCUGGAGGAUUCCAGGCCAGCGAGAGACCCCACCUCAAAAAACACCGUUGACCUCUGCCCUUGGCGAGCCUAUACAUGGAGAGAACAGAUUCAAGGGGUAGACAGACACCAAAUAGAGUGGGAAAGGGAUGCAUUAAAGUGAUGUAGCAACUAUUCCCCCACAGUUAACUCACACCCAAGCCCCUCAGCUCAUCUGUGGAUUUAGGGGAGCCUCUCUCCUUUGAACCCCUCUCUGGACCUCCAGAAAGAAGCAGAGCCUAAGGAGGGACGACCUCUAAGACACUGAGGAGAAAGACGACAGAAAAACCGUUGUCCCGGAGCAAAAACCUGCUUGAGAAUACCCACAAGGCCCUGCGUCUCAGGCACGGAACUAUUAGAAUCGUCAAGCGUCUCCUGAGAUUUUAAAGCGCUUUAAAAACAGGGGAGAAAAGCGAAGGAAGGAGGCGCACAGUUCGCGGGAACGAACUAGCAGGGGCUGAACUCCGUCCCUCUGGUCCGUCCACCAUCCCUUCUUUCCCCUGGGCCCUCGCUCUUUUCUUUUCCAAAACCGACUGACAAAGCCAGUUAAGCUGUGCUUUGGAGCGGAUCAAGGUCACCUGCCUUCCCAGGCCUCAGGUCCCCGGUGAGGCGGGUGCCCCGUCCUCCAGGUCCCCGGAGGCCCACAACACUCAGGCCUCGCGCCCGCCAAUUAGGCCCUUAUUUGAUUUCUGCUCUAUCCCUGCGAACCCCAUUAAACCCAAUUCCGCUCAUUACUGCGACUUCCCUGCUCUCAGCGCGGUUCCCCCACUCCCGGCC